rnacentral:lncRNA from 1 species
AAGAUGAGAAGGUGCAAAAAAGAUGAAGAGAAGCAGGAGAUUAUUAUAUGUAAAGAGCAGUGUUGAAGAAAAUCAUGGGCAGAUCUCGAUUUGGAUGUGUUGGGAGAAGUAAAGAAGAAGCUGUAUUGGGGGGAUCACGCUCGAUUCAGCGCUGUGUGCAAGACUUGGCUGGCCGCAGAGCAUGAAAAAAGGGCCGGUGAUGUAUUGCCCCGGUGGUUAAAGCUGUAUCAUGAGCUUUCGGAUCUUAGGAGGAUCACAUACCACCUGUAUCAACCCUUGAAUAUGGACCAACCAGUUAUCACUCGAUCUAUUAAUUUGGAUGACUUUUUUGACUCAUCCACUGUUUAUACUAAAGUUACGACAGAGGUUUAUCUCGAUGGAUUUUUGUUAAUCUCUAUGUAUAACAAGUACUUACUAGCACCUAUUUUUUGAUUGUCUCCAUUCUGGAUAAUAAUACAUUCUUUAAACUCCCUCAGUUUCACCAUCCUAACCUCCCUCUGGAUUGGUAUGUGAAUCGCUUGACAGGUGUCUCCACCUGCCCUGCCUCUUCAGAUUGCGUCUUUUUAGCUCUUUUUGUUGUUAGUUCUAAGCACCGGACCCUUGGUAUUUUUCGUCAUGGUGAUGCACACUGGACGAUGACUCAAUUUGAUUUUCAACAACCUUUGUUCCGUCCUUGUAGCGAAGCUGUUGUGUUCAUUCGAGGACUUUUCUAUUUUCUCUGUCACGGCCAACGACUUGCAUCCUAUGACAUUGCUUCCGGGGAUUUAGAAAUUAACUCCUUUUCAAUGCCAGCUAAUUGUGGGAGAGGAGUGCGCAAUAUGGGAUUCUUUGCAUUAGAUGGGGAGCUCAUGCUUCUGUAUUACGACCCAAAAGUUUGCAGACAUGUUCUUACAACCUAUGAUUCGUCUCGUAAACUUUGGGUUCCUCUAAAAAGUUUAGGGGACCGUUCUUUGUUCAUCAGCGAGUAUUCUGUUUAUGUAGAUUCUAUGAAUUAUUAUGGAGCAUCUCCCAACAAGAUAUAUUACCAAGAACAUGGGACCUGCGACGCUUAUUCCUUUGAGAAUGGUCUCUUGGAAUCUACUAAAUCCGGACUUAGAAACUGGGAUGGUCUAGAUUGUUCUGCAUCAUUUUCCAUAUGGGUUGAACCUCCUGCUCUUUUGUUGAAAAAAAUAAAAGCCAGCAUAAAAGAAUAUGACACUCAGGCAAAUUGAAGAGGUCUCUUAUGAGAGAUGUAAGUGAUCCCAAGUUCGUCCAAGUAUGUGUUUGCGGAGUCAUAACUAUCAAAACAUUCUGAUAUCUUUUCUUUAUCAUAAAGCCUACUAUUUUGUAAUAUUGAUAUAUUUCCUAUGUAAUUUAAAUGCCGUCUUUUUCUAACAUUGGCAUUUAUCUUGUCAUUUUAAAGUUCCGCCUUUGUAUUCCUAAUGAAUUGGCUACCUGUCCAUCUCUACUUGUUCUUCGUAGGUCUUGGGAUUGCCUACUUGUUAAUAGGGUUCCAACUAUAGUUAAGAGUAAUUAGUUAUGCAGC